GCCCCCGUAGCUCAGGGGAUAGAGCAACCGCCUUCUAAGCGGUAGGUCGCACGUUCGAUCCGUGUCGGGGGCG
rnacentral:tRNA from 1 species